CUUGAACUCCUGGCCUCAAGUGUUCCUCCUGCCUCAGCCUCCAAAAGUACUGGGAUUACAGGUGUGAGCCACUAUGCUUGUCUAGAUUUUCCUUUAUUUUGAAAAACUUUCCUUUUCUUUGGUAAUAUCAUUUAUUAUUUUUAUAUUUUAUUUUACCACAGCCCUGCCAUAUCCACUUUCUAAUUUCAUUGCCACAUGUGAGAGCUCCAGCCUCGAGUACUUGGCCCCUCUUCAUAGUAGGAACUAAGUCCAUCCAGAAGCUCAGCCUGGCAGCUCACUGCAGCAACAGCAGCAAAAGAACAACAGAAACUCCUCCACCUGGAGCGGAAGGCUAGCAGCCCAUGCUCACUCUAACACGCGUCAAGUACUCAGGACAGUCCAGAGGCCUCUAGGGCAACACAGGAGGAAGAUCGUUUAGAAGGCAGAAACUCAGCCCUGGCCAGAGGCAAGUCCAGUGCACCAGGCCUGCUCUCCACAGACCGCAGGGUGUUGAGAGGAGCUGGGAGAACACUGCAAUGACCACCCCCGGCCCUGGAGAACCCCAGGGCUCCAGCAGUGCCCUGAUGACCCUCCUCCACAGCCUCGACCCCACCCCACCCCAUCGCAGCCCUCACUCCAGGUCACAGCCUAGGCCUUGGCAUUACUGCUUCUGGGACCCCUGAUAACCUCAAACCCUGCAUCCCAGUCCCCAUCCUCCACCUCCCACUUCCCAGCUCACUCCUUCAACUGCCCUCAAUGCAACAGUCCUCCACCCUCCACCCAGGUGGCACAGAGGGCCUGGCACACAGCAGCCCUCAAUGAAUACUCUAAAGCUAAAUUAAUAUAUCACAUUCAUUUGUUCCACAAACCUGAUCUACGCCAGGCACCUGCUGGGGGCUGGGCACACUGUCAUGAACCCAACAGACACAGUCCCUCCCCUCACAAGGUCUGUGGCCUACCAGGAAAGCAGGAUCCCCAGUGCAGGGACGGGUGCCAUGGGAUGCCCAGCAGAAACUCCUAAUCCAGCCUGCAGGUCAGGGGAGGGCAAGAGGAAGGAAGGCAGGCAAAGAAAGGGGAGUAUUCCAGGCCACAGCAAGAGCCUGGGCAAAGGCCAGGAGCACAAGGCGGCAUGAGCUGAGAACACAGAGGCAGAAACUUGAUCACACUGGGCCCUUUUAAGUCAUUAAGCACCUGAUGUGUUAAGAAAACAGGAAGCUGGCCGGGCGCGGUGGCUCACUCCUGUAAUCCCAGCACUUUGGGAGGCUGAGGCGGGCAGAUCACAAGGUCAGGAGAUCGAGACCAUCCUGGCUAAGAGUAGAUGGUGAAACCCCGUCUCUACUAAAAAUACAAAAAAAAUUAACUGGGCGUGGUGGCGGGCGCCUGUAGUCCCAGCUACUUGGGAGGCUGAGGCAGGAGAAUGGCAUGAACCCAGGAGGCAGAUCUUGCAGUGAGCUGACAUUGUGCCACUGCACUCCAGCCUGAGCGACAGAGCGAGACUCCAUCUCAAAAAAUGAAAAUAAAAAUAAAAAUAAAAGAAAACAGGAAGCCCUUGGGGAGUAAAGCAGGGGAGUGACCAAUCAGAUUUGCCCUCUGGAAACAGCGCUGUGACAGCAGCUUGGAAGAGGAUGAGAGGAGUGCAGGCCACAGCCGGAGCAGCAGGAGACACGUGCACAAUGACUGUGGUCUGGAGAAGCGAGCCAGCAGCAAGACGGAGGGAGAAAGAACCUCUGAUUUUCGACUGGCACGUGGCUGUCUGCAACACAGGCAACACUUCCCAGCAUCCUUUGCAGUUAGCUGUGGCCAUGUGACCGGGUUCUGGCCAAUGCGUGCAACUUCCAUGAAAUGUCCCUGAGGAGGGGGAGAUUGACCUUCUGCAUCCUGCCCUUCCACCCUCCCUUUGGCUGGAAAGGUGGAUGUGAUGGCUGGAUCUGGCACAGCCCGUUGCAAUGAUGCUAUCUGCUGAAAUGGAAAGGUUCGGGUGGGAGCAGGUUAGAGGGGAGAAGAUAAAAAAGACUCCAGAGCUAUGACUGUGAAAAUAAAUAAAUCAAUAAAAUUUAGAAAUAAGACAAACAAAGCCGGGCAUGGUGACUCAUGCCUGUAAUCCCAGCACUUUGGGAGGCCAAGGCAGGCAGAUCACGAGGUCAGGAGUUCAAGACCAUCCUGGCUAACACAGUGAAACCCUGUCUCUACUAAAAAACACAAAAAUUAGCCAGGUAUGGUGGCACGCACCUGUAGUCUCAGCUACUCGGGAGGCUGAGGCAGAAGAAUAGCUUGAACCCAGGAGGCAGAGGUUGCUGUAAGCCAAGAUCAUGCCACUGCACUCCAGCCUGGGCAACAGAGCAAGACUUAACGUCUCAAAAAAAUAAAUACAUACAUACAUACAUGGAAACAACACAGCAGCACAGAGAAAUGAAUUGGGAACCAGAAGACACUGAUUCUGUUUCUUCACUGCUUCCUGUGUAUAAGUGGGAUGAAUCACUUAUCAUCCCAAGGCUAUUUUCUCAUGCAUAAAAUGGAAUACUGCCUUCCUUGCCCACCUCCACGGAUUGGCAGAGAAUGUGCUAACCCAACAUACUUAAAAACAUCCUGUAAAAUUGUAAUCCCAGCACUUUGGGAGGCCGAGGCAGGCG
rnacentral:lncRNA from 10 species